AGAACAACGAAGGAGGACACAUGGAGUUUGUAUGCGCUCGCACCAAUAUUGUUUUUAUGAGCAACAACUUGUUGAAUUCCCCGUUCAUUCGACAGCUUUCAUGGACUUGAAGGGGGUUGAAGGUUCCAGACACGCAUACAUCCUUUGUUGUACUGGAGUUUGUCUUUUGGGGACAGAUGGUGCUGGCUAUGCCAGUAGUGUACUGAGAUUUGAUUGGCUGGCAGGGUACUGAACACGCUAUUGAAGAGAUCUACAUCAGGGGUGUCACUCAUUCCAUAGAGCCUAGUGUCUGCGGGUUUUGAGUUUCUUUCAGUUAACCUCUAUGGGCUAGGUGGGACGCUAGCGUGCCACCCGUGGUGCACUCCAUCAACAGCAGACGUGCAAAUGCUGCCCCCUAGCCCUAACAGGUUAAGGCUUAGACAGCCAGGUGAUGGAGUGACCUUAACUCAUCAAUCGAGUACAGGGAGCAGCGAAAACCUGCAUACACUCGGCCCUUCGUGCAAUGAGUUUGACACGCGAUCUACAUCUUGUUUUUGAGUUAAUGGGCCAGGAUGUAUAUUGAAGACUGAUGUAAAUCUUGCCCUGUGAUUGGGUUUGAUCCAGUAUGUGGAAUAUGAAGACUUAAAUCUCAACCCUAUGGUGAGUGUCUGAUGGCUAAAAGUAGCCAAUUGUUUUCCUUCAGUCUUCUACUGGAGUUGUGAUGACCUCUCACUUUUGCUGUUUACCGAUCUGACUAAAUUGGGAUGCUGUGACUAACUGAACUGCCAGUAUUAGCAUUGAUCAUUAUAGGUAGAUGCAGAGAGCAUAGUGGGUCAAUUUCCACAACUAAGAGUGUUGAAGCGUGAGCAUCUCGCUUAGCUCAAUAUCUGCGGUGCACCUCGUGGCAGCGGCAUUGCAGGGUCUACCUUCAAUCAUUAAACCUGCAAUCCCUGAGUAAGUUUUGAGACUUCUUAUUUCAUCAUGCAGGAUUGUUAGACCUGCAGUAGGGGAGUUAUUUCCUGGGUUGUGAGGUGUCAACUAAGAUUUUCCUACCCAUGUUAAUUCAUUUUUAAUGGAAUUGUGAUGCCUUUUCUGCUAAUUUACCCUGCUGAAAAGCCAUUCAUUUGAAUUACCAGCAUUGUAACUAAACCCACAAUGGUGGAAGGCUGUAAAGUAGUUUUAGGUUGCUGGCUAAUCUCAGACAAUGGUCAUUUGCGUUUAACUGAUUUCUUCUAUUCAUUGACACAAUUCACAAGGUUUGGAAAGCGGUGCAUGUACUCCUUCACACAUGUGACCCUGGAGACCUAAACUAUCACCCUAUUUUCAACUUUCUUGUCUGUCAAAAAAGCACAGCCUUGGUCUGACUCCCCUGCCUAAAUUUAAGGUUAAAUGUUUGUUUUUAAUCAGAUUGUAUUCUGCGCUGUUAUGAAAUAAAACAUUUUAUGGUA